GAUGAACGCUAGCUACAGGCUUAACACAUGCAAGUCGAGGGGCAUCAGGAAGAAAGCUUGCUUUCUUUGCUGGCGACCGGCGCACGGGUGAGUAACACGUAUCCAACCUGCCCUUUACUCGGGGAUAGCCUUUCGAAAGAAAGAUUAAUACCCGAUGGCAUAAUGAUUCCGCAUGGUUUCAUUAUUAAAGGAUUCCGGUAAAGGAUGGGGAUGCGUUCCAUUAGGUUGUUGGUGAGGUAACGGCUCACCAAGCCUUCGAUGGAUAGGGGUUCUGAGAGGAAGGUCCCCCACAUUGGAACUGAGACACGGUCCAAACUCCUACGGGAGGCAGCAGUGAGGAAUAUUGGUCAAUGGGCGCUAGCCUGAACCAGCCAAGUAGCGUGAAGGAUGAAGGCUCUAUGGGUCGUAAACUUCUUUUAUAUAAGAAUAAAGUGCAGUAUGUAUACUGUUUUGUAUGUAUUAUAUGAAUAAGGAUCGGCUAACUCCGUGCCAGCAGCCGCGGUAAUACGGAGGAUCCGAGCGUUAUCCGGAUUUAUUGGGUUUAAAGGGAGCGUAGGUGGACUGGUAAGUCAGUUGUGAAAGUUUGUGGCUCAACCGUAAAAUUGCAGUUGAUACUGUCAGUCUUGAGUACAGUAGAGGUGGGCGGAAUUCGUGGUGUAGCGGUGAAAUGCUUAGAUAUCACGAAGAACUCCGAUUGCGAAGGCAGCUCACUGGACUGCAACUGACACUGAUGCUCGAAAGUGUGGGUAUCAAACAGG
rnacentral:rRNA from 1 species